rnacentral:misc_RNA from 1 species
GGGAAGAACAGGGUUGUAAAAGGCUAGAGGCAGUUAAAGAGAUCCAAAACAACCAUCCACGGUGAUAAAAUUAAGCAAGUGAGGAUCUGAAGCAACUAACAGAAAACAAAGGUACAUAGGUGAGCAGAGACCAAAAGGUGAGAGCCAAGGAUUCUGGGAACCCAGGAGAAAACUGUCCGUACCAUAAGUAGUGAGAGGGCGUCGAUAAGUUAAAUUAACAAGCGUCUCAUUGGCGCUUUAUUUUUCCAGUCACCAACGAGUGGAGAUGAAACAUUCACGCCCUUGAGACAACGAACACAAGGUUAGCCAACACCAAAUGCUUCUUCACUCUGU